rnacentral:rRNA from 1 species
GCGUUGUUCGGAUUCAUUGGGCGUAAAGGGUGCGUAGGUGGCGGGGUAAGUCAGGUGUGAAAUUUCGGAGCUCAACUCCGAAACUGCAUCUGAUACUGCCUUGCUUGAGGACUGGAGAGGAGACUGGAGUUUACGGUGUAGCAGUGAAAUGCGUAGAGAUCGUAAGGAAGACCAGUGGCGAAGGCGGGUCUCUGGACAGUUCCUGACACUGAGGCACGAAGGCCAG